ACUCUACAAUGCAGGCAACUGCGAUAGGGGAACAUCGAGUGAUCCUCAUAUUGGGGGUCUGUCCACCCGUCUAAAAAGCGGGUGUUAGCAAGGGCCGGGCAAGACCGGUGCCAGCCGCCGCGGUAAUACCGGCGGCUCGAGUGGUGGCCGAUAUUAUUGAGUCUAAAGGGUCCGUAGCCGGCUUUGCAAGUCUCUCGGGAAAUCCAGCGGCUUAACCGUUGGUCGUCCGGGGGGUACUACAUUGCUUGGGACUGGGAGAGGUAGGAGGUACUCAGGGGGUAGGAGUGAAAUCCUGUAAUCCUUUGGGGACCACCGGUGGCGAAGGCGUCCUACCAGAACAGGUCCGACGGUGAGGGACGAAAGCUAGGGGCACGAACCGG
rnacentral:rRNA from 1 species